AGCGAACGCUGGCGGCAGGCCUAACACAUGCAAGUCGAACGAACUCUCCGGAGUUAGUGGCGGACGGGUGAGUAACACGUGGGAACGUGCCCUUUGGUUAGGUACAACUCAGGGUAACUUGUGCUAAUAACGCUUGUGCUAUUCGGGGGUAAGAUUUAUCGCCAUUAGAGCGGCCCGCGUCUGAUUCGCUAGUUGGUGAGGUAACGGCUCAUCAACGCGACGAUCAGUAGCUGGUCUGAGAGGAUGACCAGCCACACUGGGACUGAGACACGGCCCAGACUCCUACGGGAGGGAGGAGUGGGGUAUCUUGCGCAAUGGGCGAAAGUCUGACGCAGCCAUGCCGCGUGAAUGAUGAAGGUCUUAGUAUAGUAAAAUUCUUUCACCGGGGACGAUAAUGACGGUACUCGGAGAAGAAGCCCCGGCUAACUUCGUG
rnacentral:rRNA from 1 species